rnacentral:rRNA from 1 species
GACGAACGCUGGCGGCAGGCUUAACACAUGCAAGUCGAGCGGAGCGAGGGUGCUUGCACCUUAGCUUAGCGGCGGACGGGUGAGUAAUGCUUAGGAAUCUGCCUAUUAGUGGGGGACAACAUUCCGAAAGGAAUGCUAAUACCGCAUACGCCCUGCGGGGGAAAGCAGGGGAUCUUCGGACCGUGCGCUAAUAGAUGAGGCUAAGUCGGAUUAGCGAGUUGGUGGGGUAAAGGCCUACCAAGGCGACGAAUGGUAGUGGGUCUGGGAGGAUGAUCCGCCACACUGGGACUGAGACACGGCCCAGACUCCUACGGGAGGCAGCAGUGGGGAAUAUUGGACAAUGGGCGGAAGCCUGAUCCAGCCACGCCGCGUGUGUGAAGAAGGCCUUUUGGUUGUAAAGCACUAUAAGCGAGGAGGAGGCUACUUAGAUUAAUACUCUGGGAUAGUGGACGUUACUCGCAGAAUAAGCACCGGCUAACUCUGUGCCAGCAGCCGCCGUAACAC